AGAGUUUGAUUCUGGCUCAGGACGAACGCUGGCGGCGUGCUUAACACAUGCAAGUCGAACGAUGAAGCCUAGCUUGCUAGGUGGAUUAGUGGCGAACGGGUGAGUAAUACGUGAGUAACCUACCUUUAACUCUGGGAUAAGCCCGGGAAACUGGGUCUAAUACCGGAUACGACCAAUCUCCGCAUGGGGUGUUGGUGGAAAGCGUUAUGUAGUGGUUAUAGAUGGGCUCACGGCCUAUCAGCUUGUUGGUGAGGUAACGGCUCACCAAGGCGACGACGGGUAGCCGGCCUGAGAGGGUGACCGGCCACACUGGGACUGAGACACGGCCCAGACUCCUACGGGAGGGAAUAUUGCACAAUGGGCGCAAGCCUGAUGCAGCGACGCCGCGUGAGGGAUGACGGCCUUCGGGUUGUAAACCUCUGUUAGCAGGGAAGAAGAGAGAUUGACGGUACCUGCAGAGAAAGCGCCGGCUAACUACGUGCCAGCAGCCGCGGUAAUACGUAGGGCGCGAGCGUUGUCCGGAAUUAUUGGGCGUAAAGAGCUUGUAGGCGGUUUGUCGCGUCUGCUGUGAAAGGCCGGGGCUUAACUCCGUGUAUUGCAGUGGGUACGGGCAGACUAGAGUGCAGUAGGGGAGACUGGAAUUCCUGGUGUAGCGGUGGAAUGCGCAGAUAUCAGGAGGAACACCGAUGGCGAAGGCAGGUCUCUGGGCUGUAACUGACGCUGAGAAGCGAAAGCAUGGGGAGCGAACAGGAUUAGAUACCCUGGUAGUCCAUGCCGUAAACGUUGGGCACUAGGUGUGGGGGACAUUCCACGUUUUCCGCGCCGUAGCUAACGCAUUAAGUGCCCCGCCUGGGGAGUACGGCCGCAAGGCUAAAACUCAAAGAAAUUGACGGGGGCC
rnacentral:rRNA from 1 species